AUGAAUGAUGUUGUCUUGGAGCCUCCUGUUGUUGAUGAGACCAGUCAUAAUGUUGAGGUUGCUGUUGAUCGUGGAAUUAAUGAUCCAUAUACUGAUAAGUGCAAGGGUCCUGUUGUUGGCGACGAGCCUUUUUCAACCAUUGGUGAUGUUCCUUUGAAUGUUAGUAGCAGCAAGAUUGAUGAUGUUGCUGUGAAUGCUGCUAAGAUGACUGAUGUUGAGCGUGAGGCUGCUGUUAGUGGUGGAGAUGAUGCUUGUGGUGUUCCAUUGAGUAGUGGGUGCGAUGUUGGUACCAAAGUUGGUGAUGAGGUUGUUGGUGCUGCCAGCAUACUUGAUGCCAAAUCGUCUGGUGUUGGAUUGCUGGGAAUGAAAAUCUUUCUGAUUGUGAAGAUUUGCCGCCGGAAAAUUUCCCGCCUGGAGGGCUUGAUUACGGUGAUGCAUUGCAAGAUGCCUCUAGUGUGGAGGAGGAACUCCCGUCGUCAAACUUUGAUAGUGCAGAAGGCGCUAAUGCGACUAAGGUUGAUUUGUUUUUCUUCGCUGUUACGAGGUUGCGCACGAACCGUGCGAAAUGUAACAAGCUAG
rnacentral:rRNA from 1 species